AGUGAACGCUGGCGGUAGGCCUAACACAUGCAAGUCGAACGGCAGCACAGUAAGAGCUUGCUCUUACGGGUGGCGAGUGGCGGACGGGUGAGGAAUACAUCGGAAUCUACUUUUUCGUGGGGGAUAACGUAGGGAAACUUACGCUAAUACCGCAUACGACCUACGGGUGAAAGUAGGGGAUCUUCGGACCUUGCGCGAUUGAAUGAGCCGAUGUCGGAUUAGCUAGUUGGCGGGGUAAAGGCCCACCAAGGCGACGAUCCGUAGCUGGUCUGAGAGGAUGAUCAGCCACACUGGAACUGAGACACGGUCCAGGCUCCUACGGGAGGCAGCAGUGGGGAAUAUUGGACAAAGGGCGCAAGCCUGAUCCAGCCAUACCGCGUGGGUGAAGAAGGCCUUCGGGUUGUAAAGCCCUUUUGUUGGGAAAGAAAAGCAGCAGGUUAAUACCCCGCUGUUCUGACGGUACCCAAAGAAUAAGCACCGGCUAACUUCGUG
rnacentral:rRNA from 1 species